rnacentral:tRNA from 1 species
GGAUGAUGCUCAGUGGUAGAGCACUUGCCCAGCAUGCUUGAGGCCCUGGGUUUGAUCCUCAGUAUUCC